rnacentral:rRNA from 1 species
AUGGCAUCAUCUUCAUGGGAAAAAUGGCCUGAUCAUGUGCGGGAUAAAUGGCAUGAUGAUUUGAGAGAUAUAGAUUUUUGGUUUAAUAGAUAUCAUGAAGAGGAUGAUGCAGGUCUUAAGUUCACUAUUAAUCCAUGGAGGUAUUGGAAUGUUGGGGCGGGGCCCAUGGCUUCCUUCAGACUAGCCAUGUCAGGCAUGGUUGAGGGAAUCUGUGAGAGCUUUGGGCCCUUCAAACCCGUGAUAAAGGUGGAUCUGAAGCCCACGCCAACUGUAGAUGAAGCACAAGGAACAAGGUUCAUGAGCAUCAAGUACCAGUUAGCCGUCGCUGCGGCAGAGGAGUUGGGGCUACUCGACCAAGAAUAUAACAGGCUGAAGGAAGAGCACGAUGAGUUGCAGUUUUACACCUACGGGUGCAGUGGUACCGGUGCCUCUCAUAAUUUGGAGAAUCGUGUGCGGUACACUAUAGUUCCUCAGAUCGUCAAGAAGUUGUCAACCGAGAAGUAUUUGCUAGUGGUCAAUAACCUCCGGUGGCCAAUUGUGCCUGACAGUUUUAUACAGGAUUGCGGGUUCCCUCCCCCGCUGUGGACAGAUUCUAAGUGGCUCAUCUCAACCACUUCUGAGGAUGUCUGCAACAAGAGCAAGCUGGAAGACGAUUGGGUUAUACCCUAUCCCACAGAUAGGGAUGUUGUGGCGCUUACCCUCUCUGCACUGCGUGAAUCGGCACAUCACAUACUCAACAUGACCCAUCAAGAAAGCAAGGAAUACUGGCAUCACAUAGCCCUCAAUUGCUUCCACUUUGCCAUGGUGAUCUUUGCCAAACAUUCACAGAUGGCAGCGGUUACCUCGGACGAGCUCAUCCAUCAUUGGGCCACCCAAGGCAUCUUGCCUCGUAUGACCAGUAGUGAAGAAGAAAAAGAAACCAACAUCUGCAGCAGCAAGUGUGCCUAUAUGCAUCGAGUUGGAAGGGUCAUCCUUGAAGCAUUUGAGAAAUACUCUUUGUUGCAGCUACCAUUCUCUCCUGCCAAUGAAGCUCAUGAAGCCACCAAUACUGCUGCACAAUUCCUUGCAUACCAUGCCCUCAUUGCAGAAGGCAUGACAGUAGGUGAACUCGCGGAUCAUAAGAAAAAAUGGAUCGCCUUUUUGGAUGAUCAUGGAUGUCAUGUAAGCCGAGAAUGGUUGGGGCCGGGGGAAACUAGGGGGGCAACUGCACUUAUUCUAAGAGGUUGCUCACACCAAUCGGUCAUACUUUGCAAGCUGGGCCAUAUCCUGCCCAAACUUAUAUUUCUUCAUUGUCUUGAUCUCUCUUACACUCAACUGAAAACACUCCCUUCUUCUAUCGAAUGUCUAAUAAACCUUCGACUGCUUUCACUUAGAGGCUGCCAUGAUCUCAAAACUCUUUCCAGUUCACCCACAACAAGUGCCACAGACUCGUCAACAAAUACUACGUCAUAUUCCCCAUUAUCCACUCUAUACAAGCUUGAAAUUCUUGAUAUGAAUGGAGUUCCUUUUUCUCAUAUAACACAAAAUGUAGCCAACCAAAAGAGCAACUUGAUUUACCUCAACAUGUCCUAUUCAAAAAUAUCUACUUUUCCACCAAAUGUUUUUCGGGACAUGUCAAAUCUUGAAGUGCUUAUUCUUGCCAGCUGCUCCAACCUUCUCCAGCUUCCUCCUUCCAUGGCAUUGCUAUCCAGCCUAGUAACCCUUGAAGUCACAGGGACCCAAAUAAAAUGCUUCCCGCCGAAGAUAUUUGAAGAAAUGCAGAAGCUUCAGUCGCUCAAGCUCAUCGACAACAAGAAAUUGAUUUCACUCACAAGACCAAUCUCUAGGUUUCAGGGAAUCAAGUUGGAAGGGCAUCCUAACCUUAUAUCAUUCGUCUUGAUCGGCGCACCUCACGUAAGGUGCUUGUCUUUGCGUGGAUGUAGGAAACUCGAGUCCGUCGAGAUAAAGAAUCUUGGUGCGUUGGAAGAGCUAGAUUUGUCCGGUACAACUAUCAAGGAGCUCCCUGCUGACAUCCCCAAUAUGCCCCAUCUUAGGAGAUUGCUCCUACUUGGUGUUCCUUCUCUGAGGCGAUUUCCUUGGCAUAGGCUGGAGCGACUCCCUGAUGUGUUUUUCUUGGAUAAUUGCUCAGAAGGAAAUGGUAAUCACUCUAAUCAAGUUUCCCAAGUGUGUGUUACUGACGCCAGGUUCUUCUAUAGCUUCCAUCGCAAUGCUCUGAAUUUAGUAAGACAUGGGAAGUUUUUCCAAUCAUUUUAUAUUCGAGUUGCACCAUGCAUUACAAAUAGUAUGCAACUGCAACUGCAAGAUGAAGAAAUCAUGCUAGCUAACAAGCUGGACGAGUUGCUACAGAAACAGUUAACAUAUGUAGAUGUAUAUAGCAGAUAUUUUGCAGAGAAAAUUGCUAUUGCCCCACAAAUUAGAGUUCCCCUUCACCGAACUAAGCGGCAUGUGGAUAUCACAGGCGGGCAACAGUCACACAAUGGUUUAGCAUACCUUCUGCAUAUCACGAAAUCAAUAUCAGUGACAUAUGAUACUUCUAUCAAGUCUUUUUCUAACUUGAGCGGUUUUGAUGAGCUGGAAGAAUGUGAGCUUCAAUGGUGCCACAAAAUAGACACCGUUUUCCACAACUUCAUGGAAAAUCUACGGAAUGUGCAUGUGUCCAACCUCAAAAGUCUAGUUAGAUUCUGUUCACCAUACUGUUUUGUUGAAUUCAGUUCACUAGAGCAUCUACACCUGGAGAACUGCCCCAGAUUGGAGAUCCUGAUGACAUAUGGUGCAUCAGCACUACCAUGUCUCAAGACACUUGACAUCAUGUUUUGCUACAACCUCAAGAAACUAUUCUACAGUUAUGAAGAUCAAGAUCGUGCUUAUGAGCUCCCGAGCCUCCAAAGGAUACGUCUACAGGAGUUGCCACUGCUAAAGCACUUUGAUGACAAUGAUGCCAUCAUAACGGCACCGGCAUGGGAGGAGCUCCAUGUCCGGGGGUGCUGGAGCCUUCAACGCCUCCCGCACCUACAAGGACGCCAGCCGGAGAUAGUGAAGGUGAACUGUGAGAGGAGCUGGUGGGGCAAACUCCAGUGGGGGCCACUCCCACACCAUAACAACUAUGAACCGAAGCUACCCCCAGAGUUUGCCUCAUUCGACGAGUCUGCCGACAUGAGCAGCUACCUCAGAUGA